GUCUUUACAAGAUCAUCUUAUUUAGGUUCACUGUAUUAUAAUAUAGCUUUAUAAUAUUUGCUUUUCCUAAGCUGCAUCUGGCAAGUCAGUCUCAGAAACAGUAACCUUGUGCCUUGCCUUCUCAAGUAGGCGAGAAGGAACUAGAACUUGUCCCAUCUUCCUGUAUGUGCACACAACAAAGUAAAUAUUGAUACUGCCUAGUUUCAUGUUGUGCAAAUCAUUCAUCCCUGUUCCCUGAGAUUGGCUGUAACCAUUUGUUUACUCAAGAGUUAGUUGUCUUGCUCCUGAAGACAGUCUAGUGAGUGAUGGAAGUAGGUUGAUGGGAAGAGGACUGGACACUAGGAGAGUGUACUCUACCCUCACAAGAGCUAGAAACCUACUGAGAGGGGGCCAAGGUGACAAAUGUUAGCUCUUUUCUCUUCUGUGAAAGCUCCCACACUUUUAAAAUGAAAUAUAGUGAGGAGUGAGUGUCCUUAUCCUAGGAUAUCAUAGGUGUUGGGAAGGGCACAACUAUCUUUUGCAGAUGCUUC
rnacentral:lncRNA from 1 species